CCUACGGGAGGCAGCAGUGAGGGAUAUUGGUCAAUGGGGGAAACCCUGAACCAGCAACGCCGCGUGAGGGCAGACGGUUUUCGGAUUGUACACCUCUGUCCUCUGUGAAGAUAAUGACGGUAGCAGAGGAGGAAGCUCCGGCUAACUACGUGCCAGCAGCCGCGGUAAUACGUAGGGAGCAAGCGUUGUCCGGAUUUACUGGGUGUAAAGGGAGCGUAGGCGGGGAUGCAAGUUGGGUGUUAAAUCUACCGGCUCAACUGGUAGUCGCACUCAAACAUGCAGCUCUUGAGUGAAGUAGAGGCAGGCGGAAUUCCUAGUGUAGCGGUGAAAUGCGUAGAUAUUAGGAGGAACACCAGUGGCGAAGGCGGCCUGCUGGGCUUUUACUGACGCUGAGGCUCGAAAGUGUGGGGAGCAAACAGGAUUAGAUACCCCUGUAGUC
rnacentral:rRNA from 1 species